rnacentral:rRNA from 1 species
GCCGAGGAGGUAUUGC